UACGUAGGUGACAAGCGUUGUCCGGAUUUACUGGGCGUAAAGAGCGCGCAGGCGGUCGAUCAAGUCGAGUGUGAAAGCCCCCGGCUCAACUGGGGAGGGUCAUUCGAUACUGAUCGACUCGAAGGCAGGAGAGGGUAGUGGAAUUCCCGGUGUAGUGGUGAAAUGCGUAGAUAUCGGGAGGAACACCAGUGGCGAAGGCGCUCUACUGGACCACAACUGACACUCAGGGACGAAAGCUAGGGGAGCGAAUGGG
rnacentral:rRNA from 1 species